rnacentral:rRNA from 1 species
UACAGAGGGGGCAAGCGUUGUUCGGAAUUACUGGGCGUAAAGGGCGCGUAGGCGGCCUUCUAAGUCGAACGUGAAAUCCCCGGGCUCAACCCGGGAACUGCGUCCGAUACUGGAAGGCUUGAAUCCGGGAGAGGGAUGCGGAAUUCCAGGUGUAGCGGUGAAAUGCGUAGAUAUCAGGAGGAACACCGGUGGCGAAGGCGGUUCUCUGGGAAUAUCCUGACGCUGAGGAGCGAAAGUGUGGGGAGCGAACAGG